rnacentral:rRNA from 1 species
GAACCGGGGUAAGCGUGUAGGAGGAGGACCAGGUAAAUCCGGGCCUCAUAAACUCUGAGACGUGAUACCGAGCCGCUUCAGGCGAAGUCAUUGAUCCUAUGCUGCCUAGAAAAGCCCAGCAGCGAGUUGACAUGGUGCCCGUACCCCAAACCAACACAGGUGGACAGGUAGAGCAUACCAAGGCGAGUGGGAUAACUAUGGUUAAGGAACUCGGCAAAUUGCCUCCGUAACUUCGGGAGAAGGAGGACCCCAGUAGCGUGAUGAGACUUGCUCUCUGAGCGUGAAGGGGUGGCACAAAAUUGAGGGAAGCGACUGUUUACCAAAAACACAGCAGCGUGCUAAGCCGUAAGGCGCUGUAUACGCUGUGACUCCUGCCCGGUGCUGGAAGGUUACGGGGAUGGGUUAGUCCUUCGGGACGAAGCUCUGAACCUAAGCCCCAGUAAACGGCGGCCGUAACUAUAACGGUCCUAAGGUAGCGAAAUUCCUUGUCGGGUAAGUUCCGACCUGCACGAAUGGAGUAACGACUUCCCUACUGUCUCAACCAUAGACCCAGCGAAAUUGAAGUACGAGUAAAGAUGCUCGUUAGCUGCAGAAGGACGGAAAGACCCCGUGGACCUUUACUAUAACUUGAUGUUGUGUUUUGUCAUAUGUUGUGUAGGAUAGGUGGGAGACUUGGAAGCAUGGACGCUAGUCUGUGUGGAGUCAUCGUUGAAAUACCACCCUGCAUAUGGUGAGGCUCUAACCUAGACCCGUUAUCCGGGUUGGGGACAGCGUCAGGCGGGUAGUUUAACUGGGGCGGUUGCCUCCUAAAGAGUAACGGAGGCGCCCAAAGGUUCCCUCAGCCUGGUUGGCAAUCAGGCGUUGAGUGCAAUGGCAAAAGGGAGCUUGACUGCGAGACCUACAAGUCGAGCAGGGGCGAAAGCUGGGCAUAGUGAUCCGGCGGUUGCGUGUGGAAGCGCCGUCGCUCAACGGAUAAAAGGUACCCCGGGGAUAACAGGCUAAUCUUGCCCAAGCGUCCAUAGCGACGGCAAGGUUUGGCACCUCGAUGUCGGCUCAUCGCAUCCUGGGGCUGAAGCAGGUCCCAAGGGUUGGGCUGUUCGCCCAUUAAAGCGGUACGCGAGCUGGGUUCAGAACGUCGUGCGACAGUUCGGUCCCUAUCCUCUGCAGCCGGAGGUGAAUUGAGGAAAGCUGUCCCUAGUACGAGAGGACCGGGACGGACGCAGCUCUCGUGUGCCAGUUGUCCUGCCAAGGGCAUGGCUGGUUAGCGACCUGCGGAAAGGAUAACCGCUGAAAGCAUCUAAGCGGGAAGCCUCUUCCAAGAUGAAUUCACCCACAGGGUUAACCUGGUAAGGCCCGUGGUAGACCACCACGUUGAUAGGCCGGAAGUGUAAGCGUGGCAACACGUUCAGCUGACCGG